GAAUGGUGUCGGUCUCGACGAUAUGAGCUUCACCGAGCUGGCUUCACUUGGAAGUAUGUUGGAUGAGGGCUUCCGCAUUGUGGACGAACAACUAGACAAUGCACACGAGGAAAUAACAACCAAGCAGCUUUUUGAGUACGAUCUUAUGGGGGGACCGGACUGGACUCAAAGAAUAGAGAAGAAGAUUUGGCCUACCAAUCCCUUCUAGCGGGGAGAAGAGUAGCUUUGAGGAACAAGGCUAGAGAAUUCCG